rnacentral:lncRNA from 1 species
AAAACCCUUGUGUUCUAGUGGUGAGGCUCCUUUCUCUUCACCAGCAGAUUGCAGGUUCGAACCCAUGCAAUAGCAAUUUUUUGCAAUGAAAAUAAAGGGAGCAAUAGUAAUUUUUUGCAAUGAAAAUAAAGGGAGCGGGCUGGCAGCUAGUCGGCCUCAACUCGUGGCCCCUCGAAGCCACGUGUUCGUUGACUGGCCCCGUUGGU